UGAGGAAUAUUGGUCAAUGGGCGAGAGCCUGAACCAGCCAAGUAGCGUGAAGGAUGACUGCCCUAUGGGUUGUAAACUUCUUUUAUAAAGGAAUAAAGUCGGGUAUGCAUACCCGUUUGCAUGUACUUUAUGAAUAAGGAUCGGCUAACUCCGUGCCAGCAGCCGCGGUAAUACGGAGGAUCCGAGCGUUAUCCGGAUUUAUUGGGUUUAAAGGGAGCGUAGAUGGAUGUUUAAGUCAGUUGUGAAAGUUUGCGGCUCAACCGUAAAAUUGCAGUUGAUACUGGAUAUCUUGAGUGCAGUUGAGGCAGGCGGAAUUCGUGGUGUAGCGGUGAAAUGCUUAGAUAUCACGAAGAACUCCGAUUGCGAAGGCAGCCUGCUAAGCUGCAACUGACAUUGAGGCUCGAAAGUGUGGGUAUCAAACAGGAUUAGAUACCCUGGUAGUCCACACGGUAAACGAUGGAUACUCGCUGUUGGCGAUAUACUGUCAGCGGCCAAGCGAAAGCAUUAAGUAUCCCACCUGGGGAGUACGCCGGCAACGGUGAAACUCAAAGGAAUUGACGGGGGCCCGCACAAGCGGAGGAACAUGUGGUUUAAUUCGAUGAUACGCGAGGAACCUUACCCGGGCUUAAAUUGCAGACGAAUUACCUGGAAACAGGUAAGCCGCAAGGCGUCUGUGAAGGUGCUGCAUGGUUGUCGUCAGCUCGUGCCGUGAGGUGUCGGCUUAAGUGCCAUAACGAGCGCAACCCUCGUGGCCAGUUACUAGCAGGUAACGCUGAGGACUCUGGCCAGACUGCCAUCGCAAGAUGCGAGGAAGGUGGGGAUGACGUCAAAUCAGCACGGCCCUUACGUCCGGGGCUACACACGUGUUACAAUGGGAGGUACAGAAGGCAGCUACCCGGCGACGGGAUGCCAAUCUCCAAAGCCUCUCUCAGUUCGGACUGGAGUCUGCAACCCGACUCCACGAAGCUGGAUUCGCUAGUAAUCGCGCAUCAGCCACGGCGCGGUGAAUACGUUCCC
rnacentral:rRNA from 1 species